CAGCUCCCGCCUCAGCCUAUGCCAGGAGGCGGAUGACUCCAUUGUCUGAGCCCAGCAGGAGGUGGCGUUUGGUAGGCAGCAAGGCCAGGCUGCUCCUUCCAGACGGUCAAAGAGUGGUCAGAGGAGGAGCUGACCAGGAUGCUGCCUUCCACCGCCUGCUCAGGGAGAGGAGAGCCUCAGCAGGGCCUGGGCCUCCCGGGUGCCCACCAAGCCUCAGGGUCUUCCUGUUUCCUCCCAGAAAGACCGGCAUCGUGAGCAGUGGACAAGCUACCACCCUCUCACACUAUGUUAAUGCCAGCCACGCAGAACCAGGCCUGUACGGGUGUCCAAGAGCACCAUGAAACCCGAGGAGAAGCCAGCCACGACACUGCGGCCACUG